rnacentral:sRNA from 1 species
GUUCCACCGGUUACAAGAGCCAACACGUCUGACUAGUUUUAGAGUGAGGAUCUGUCAUAUGGAACCACCUCCCGAGGUUUGCGCUAAGAGAAUUUAUAAUGAGAAUCCAUAGGUAUUAACCAUAACUUUAAAAAUAUAAAUAUAUCCCUUUCUGAUCUAAGACAUACCUUUGAUGUCUCUUGUAGUUAUGCUAACAUGUUUACAUUAAUCUCGUAAAUAGUUUCAAUUUGUGGAGUUAGGAUUGCUCGCUCUAUAAUCCUUGCAUAUGUAAAUUUUGACAAAUUGUUUUCCGUAUUUAUGGUUUGAAAUAUAACCUGAAAAUAAUGUCUAAUUUAUUGCAUUGUAAAUUUAGGAUCAACGACCACAAUCUGACCAUCGUCUUUGUUGACUUAUUUAGCUUCACCUGUGGGUGCUUUUCCAUCUUCUACAGUUAGGAGCCAUGUGGACCUCUUCUAAUUCAAAGCACAACAUCCCACAUAUAUCGACCUCUUCUAAUUCAAAGCACUUGU